CUAAGAAUCUUCCGCAAUGGGCGAAAGCCUGACGGAGCGACGCCGCGUGGACGAUGAAGGCGUUAUGCGUUGUAAAGUCCUUUUAUAGGGGAUGAUGAUGACUGUACCCUAUGAAUAAGCAUCGGCUAAUUACGUGCCAGCAGCCGCGGUAAUACGUAAGAUGCUAGCGUUAUCCGGAAUUACUGGGCGUAAAGGGUGCGUAGGCGGUUAAAUAAGUCGGGUGUGAAAUCUUACGGCUCAACCGUAAAAUUGCGCUCGAAACUAUUUGACUCGAGUUUGGAAGAGGAAGGCGGAAUUCCUGGUGUAGGAGUGAAAUCUAUAGAUAUCAGGAAGAACACCGGUGGCGAAGGCGGCCUUCUGGUCUAAAACUGACGCUGAAGCACGAAAGCGUGGGGAGCAAACGGG
rnacentral:rRNA from 1 species